AACGAACGCUGGCGGCAUGCCUAACACAUGCAAGUCGAACGAGACCUUCGGGUCUAGUGGCGCACGGGUGCGUAACGCGUGGGAAUCUGCCCUUGGGUUCGGAAUAACAGCGAGAAAUUGCUGCUAAUACCGGAUGAUGACGUAAGUCCAAAGAUUUAUCGCCCAAGGAUGAGCCCGCGUAGGAUUAGCUAGUUGGUGAGGUAAAGGCUCACCAAGGCGACGAUCCUUAGCUGGUCUGAGAGGAUGAUCAGCCACACUGGGACUGAGACACGGCCCAGACUCCUACGGGAGGCAGCAGUGGGAAAUAUUGGACAAUGGGCGAAAGCCUGAUCCAGCAAUGCCGCGUGAGUGAUGAAGGCCUUAGGGUUGUAAAGCUCUUUUACCCGGGAUGAUAAUGACAGUACCGGGAGAAUAAGCCCCGGCUAACUCCGUGCCAGCAGCCGCGGUAAU
rnacentral:rRNA from 1 species